AAACUUUCAACAACGGAUCUCUUGGCUCCGGCAUCGAUGAAGAACGCAGCGAAAUGCGAUAAGUAAUGUGAAUUGCAGAAUUCAGUGAAUCAUCGAAUCUUUGAACGCACAUUGCGCCCCUCGGUAUUCCGGGGGGCAUGCCUGUCCGAGCGUCAUUA
rnacentral:rRNA from 1 species